GGGAGGAUCUCUACGUCAAAAAUUUUUAAUUAACAAUUUUCUAGGAUUUUGCAUUCCAGUGUAUUGAAUUGAUGAAUAAUCAUGAUUAGAACGACAAAUCGUUAAAUAGUUUCCUAUUUUAUUCACUUAGUCUACAAAUAACUUUAUAACUUCCGAAUGUAAAUUAUUUUCCUAUGGAGCUUUUUAUAUUUUUUUUUACUCUCCCUUCCAGAAAAUUUACUUAAAAUUAAAAGUAUUUCGGUAUUAUAUAGUAAAAAUGGUUAAAAUAGUCAUUGUCUGAGUGUGAGUGUGGUAAAUGAAAAGUGAAGAAAGGUGUCUAGAAUAUUAUGUGAAUGUGAUGCUAGAAAAAAUGUAUUGAAUAUUUUUGGUUUCUUUUUAAAUAUUAGUUUUUUUUAUUAAUUUAAUGUGUCGUAUGGUUAGGUGAAAAGUAUUUUUUAUAACUAGAAAGUUAUAUAGCUUCGGAAUUGUUUAGUAAAACUUAUGUAUGUCUGAAGUUUCUCAAAAGUGACGCAAGAUGGCUACUUUUACAUUGUAGUUCUUGCAGUUAACCGGUCCCAAUAUUUUUUAAUUUUAUUAUUAUUACGCGUUGUGUAUUGUCGAGUGUCUUUAAAAUUGCUUUUUUUGCCGUUAAUAUUAAUAAAACUAAUAAGUGCCGGUGUGAAUAUAUAUUCGUAAUUUUAUAGUGAACUAAUUCUUAUACAUUUCAACAAUCGUUUAAAUAAAAUGAAAAAUAGUGUGUUUCAGUUGUUGCGUAAAUAAUAUAGUGCAAACAAAUAGUGGAGUGUUUAAAAGUGUUUGUGUUGUGUGUGCUUAUUCCUAAAGGAUUAUAAUGUUCGAGUUUGUAGCGGAGCAGCUCCUGGAGGAGAUCUUGUAUAGCUGAGUCGCAGUUAAUUUAUAUGAAGAAAAGUGUAAAGAAAAUUGGAAAGGAGUAUGAGCAGAGAAUGCGCGACGCUAGGAAAGCUCUUUCGGUUCUGAAGAUUGAGGAGGAACAAGUGCGGCGCAUAUACAUAAUCUCAACGAAGGAUCCGCGAUCG